GGGGGUACAGCUCAGUGGUAGAGCGUGUGCUUGCAUGCACGAGGUGCUGGGUUCAAUCCUCAACACCUCCA
rnacentral:tRNA from 1 species